GGCAGAAUGGCCGAGUGGUCUAAGGCGCUGGAAUUAGGUUAUUUCCCGACAAUCCAGUCCGAAUAGGGCGUGGGUUCGAACCCCACUUCUGUCA